rnacentral:rRNA from 1 species
CAGUCGCCGCGGUAAUACGAAGGGUGCAAGCGUUAAUCGGAAUUACUGGGCGUAAAGCGUGCGUAGGCGGUUUGUUAAGUCUGCUGUGAAAUCCCCGGGCUCAACCUGGGAAUGGCAGUGGAUACUGGCAAGCUAGAGUGUGUCAGAGGAUGGUGGAAUUCCCGGUGUAGCGGUGAAAUGCGUAGAAAUCGGGAGGAACAUCAGUGGCGAAGGCGGCCAUCUGGGACAACACUGACGCUGAGGCACGAAAGCGUGGGGGGCAAACAGGAUUAGAUACCCCGGUAGUCCCUGUCUCUUAUAC